AUCAGUCAUCGCACUUCAGUUUCUCUUUCCUCCGCAGCUUAUUUUCCAGCCACCGUUUCUCUUCCUUCCGCAGCCGUUUGGAAAUGAAAAGCACAUCUACUCCAUCAUCUCUGGCCACCGCGACGGAACUAUAGCUUCAUAUUCGAGUUCUCUUUUCUUCGGGGGCAGCUAUUUGUAGCAUCACUGCUUCAGCGGAAUAUUAAGUCGUGCUUGAUACUUAGGGAUCUCGAGAAAGCCAAGGCUCUUAUUGUCAUUCAGGGGAUAGUGAUUAAGAAGUUCUUCACCACUUUUGGAGUACAGUUGUUUCUCGGAUGGCUAUACUGCAUCUGGCUGCGUGUUCAAUGACUAUACAGGUGUAACUACAUUCUCAGCUUGCAAAAAGGAACAAAUGACAGCUGAACCUACAAUUGCUGAAGCUCUUGGCAUCCGCUGGUGUAUGCAGCUCGCGAAGGAUCAAAGAAUUAAAGAAAAGAAAUCAUUGUGCAGUCAGAUGCGUUGGUUGUAGUGGAAUGCAUUAGGGGCUCUAAUUCUAUUGCUAGUUUUUAACACAUUGUGGCAGAUUGUAAAACUCUUAUGAAUGUCUUUAGUAAGGUAUCUGUUAACUUUAUAGGUAGAGAUUUGAAUGUUUUAGCGCAUAGACUUGUAGGUUAUGAUAUGCAAGUAGGGAACAAGUCUUGGUUGGGAUAUCCCCUUCCUUUGAAUGAUGUUAUUGUCUCUUGUAAUGCUUCUGUUAUAUAACGAAGUUGGUAGAAUAUCAAACAGAAAAAAAAAGAGAUUGACUAAUGCUUUUGACCAUCUUGUUUCAAUGACCAUGUAGACUGUAAUUACCAUGAUAAAUCAUGCAAUUGGAGCAUCUGGAGUCGUAACCAAGGAGUGCAACUUAGACGAUAUUGAUCAUGGUUGGCUUCUGGCACUGAAUGAAAGCGUGCAAGCACUGCUGGCCAUAUCAAACUGAAAUAUUGUUACUGUGUGAAGGCUUGUAAUUACAUAUAUGUAUUAUUGGACGAGCUGGGACAGAUUGGGAAGAGGUAAAAACAAAGGUGGCUUAGGAUUUAGAGGCUGUUAGUAUAGUGCAUUAUGCUUCUUCCUUUGCUGAAGUGUUCAAUGCAGCCUGUAGACGGCUUUGGGUGUUUUGAAGGUUAAUAUUGAUGUGGGAUGCUUUGAAGGCGGGCACACAUGUUGAGGUCUGAUCGUUAGCACCAUGACAGUGAUGGUGCUUAAAUUGGAUUGAUGAACAGAAACAGUUACAGACUAAUCCUGCUAUUGUAUCUCAUGUGAUUGUAGAAACUAACACAAGUAGUAUCCAAGGACAAGCAUUUGACUUUUAGGAAAAAGAGAGAAAAUAAUAAUGAGCAUUUGGCUUUUAGGAAGUCUGUGUUAAGACUAUCCAUGUAAUGUAAUAUUACUCAUGUCUAUGUUAUGCAUGUCAAUGAAUGAAAAGUGCAGGAACAUCAAUUUGUGUACUUCAAGUUUUAAUAUUCUUUAGUAGUA